UACACUCCUGCGGGAGGCAGCAGUGGGGAAUUUUGGACAAUGGGGGCAACCCUGAUCCAGCAAUGCCGCGGGAGUGAAGAAGGCCUUCGGGUUGUAAAGCUCUUUUGUCAGGGAAGAAACGGUGGUGGCGAAUAACUACUACUAAUGACGGUACCUGAAGAAUAAGCACCGGCUAACUACGUGCCAGCAGCCGCGGUAAUACGUAGGGUGCAAGCGUUAAUCGGAAUUACUGGGCGUAAAGCGUGCGCAGGCGGUUGUGUAAGUCAGAUGUGAAAUCCCCGGGCUCAACCUGGGAAUUGCAUUUGAGACUGCACGGCUAGAGUGUGGCAGAGGGGGGUAGAAUUCCACGUGUAGCAGUGAAAUGCGUAGAUAUGUGGAGGAAUACCGAUGGCGAAGGCAGCCCCCUGGGAUAACACUGACGCUCAUGCACGAAAGCGUGGGGAGCAAACAGGAUUAGAAACCCCAGUAGUCCCAUG
rnacentral:rRNA from 1 species